CCUACGGGGCGCAGCAGUGGGGAAUAUUGCACAAUGGGGGAAACCCCGAUGCAGCGACGCCGCGUGAGUGAGGAAGUAUUUCGGUAUGUAAAGCUCUAUCGGCAGGGAAGAAAAAAUGACGGUACCUGACUAAGAAGCACCGGCUAAAUACGUGCCAGCAGCCGCGGUAAUACGUAUGGUGCAAGCGUUAUCCGGAUUUACUGGGUGUAAAGGGAGCGCAGGCGGUACGGCAAGUCUGAUGUGAAAGGCCGGGG
rnacentral:rRNA from 1 species